AAAAUUCAAAGCAACCAAGGAUAGUACCAUCGUAUUCGUUUGACAGAUUUAAACUAACCAGAACUAACUGUUCCGAGAGCUAUGUAAUUAGGCCAAGCGUCACAAACCUGCAUUCUAUUUUACUAUUUCUUAUUCUUGUAUUUUGUCUACCAUUCUGUUAUGUGAUACUUUUUUUGAUAUUUCAUAAACCAUCGCUGUUCAUUUGUUAGAAUGUUUAUGGUGCAAUAUGUUAUAAGUGUGGAGUGAGAAAUUACGGAAAACUGAGCGAUAUUUGGAAUCGAUGCAUUAGAAAAUUAAAGGAUUCCUCCUGCAUUGGUUGUUGACGCAGGAGAAAUCCAGAAAAUGUUACAAAGUCUUCUAUGGCAGCAACCCAAUGUUUGAAGGUUAUAGACCUUUAUCUAUUCUCAGUAAACUUCUAUAGAUCAUCGAGUGUGGAUCACCCUGAAGGUGUAGAAGACAUUAAGGAAAGACCCAUAUAGAGCGGAUCGGCUCCUGGUGCCUGGUACAAAAGCAAAACAAUAGGCCGUACUAUCGAAGCAGAAGCCGAUUCAUCGAACUCGUUGGGUGUGGCUCCCAAAAAACGUACCGGUCCAGCGGGCAAAUCAGUAGGGAAUGAUGGGCUACUUUGUGUGGCGGGUGAUGAACCUGCGUGAGUGUUAAAUGUUUCGCUGUCAACCAACUCCAAAGAUGGC